AUUUCCCCAUCAGUUUUACAUAUAGUUUAUCUGUGAUGGAGAGGGAGGGUUCAGUCCCUGAUGGGUCUUCUGAUGUUACAUUUGACUCAUUGGAGCAGAGCAAAGUUAAUGCAUUGGAUAUCAUUUCAUCCCUGGUAUAACCAGGAGCACAAGGCCAGUCUGAUUGGCUCUGCUAGUUCGCUGUCAUGCAGCAAUGCCAGAGAGGAAAAACCACUUCACGACGGUUAAACAAACCUGACCCAACUUUUCUCUCUUCCUGCUUGAUUUCGCGCAUUUUGAUAUAAUUUCACAAACCGUGUCGCGGGCCGUUUUUAAACUGAUCCCGGCCCACUAAUUAUUGGUUUGAUGACAACGUUGUUCAGUCAACCUGGUAACUUGGCAGUAGGUUUAGACACAUCUGAUUGGCCCCUGAAGAAAGGAAAAUGCAGUAUUCUAUUAUAGUGAACAGGGUGUAGUUAAUUCAAUGUGUUGUAUUAGUAGCUGUGUGAAUAUCAGGGAACAGUGUGAAUAUCAGGGAACAUUGUGUAGCUGUGUGAAUAUCAGGGAACAGUGAGUAGCUGUGUGAAUAUCAGGGAACAGUGAGUAGCUGUGUGAAUAUCAGGGAACAUUGAGUAGCUGUGUGAAUAUCAGGGAACAGUGUGUAGCUGUGUGAAUAUCAGGGAACAGUGUGAAUAUCAGGGAACAGUGUGGAACAGUGUGAAUAUCAGGGAACAUUGAGUAGCUGUGUGAAUAUCAGGGAACAGUGUGUAGCUGUGUGAAUAUCAGGGAACAUUGAGUAGCUGUGUGAAUAUCAGGGAACAGUGAGUAGCUGUGUGAAUAUCAGGGAACAGUGAGUAGCUGUGUGAAUAUCAGGGAACAGUGAGUAGCUGUGUGAAUAUCAGGGAACAGUGUGUAGCUGUGUGAAUAUCAGGGAACAGUGUGUAGCUGUGUGAAUAUCAGGGAACAGUGUGUAGCUGUGUGAAUAUCAGGGAACAGUGUGUAGCUGUGUGAAUAUCAGGGAACAGUGUGUAGCUGUGUGAAUAUCAGGGAACAUUGAGUAGCUGUGUGAAUAUCAGGGAACAGAUUUUGUGUAGCUGUGUGAAUAUCAG
ensembl:lncRNA